AUGGUCCUAAGUGGAGAUUGAGAUGGAUUGGUAGUUCUAAAGUGGAGUGAUAUGAUGCACAUACUAUUAGAAGUUGAGACUAGGAACAUUUUGGCACAAGUAGAGAUUAAGCCUCUAUUUGGUUUAGAUAUAAUUAGAUUUUUAGUAAACUUUGACAAAAAUCGAUGGAAUAUGUGAUCGAGAAGUUGUGGAUUCUAUGAAAUAUGUGGUUAAUAUUAAUUGUUGACUUUGAUUUAGAUUUUAAUCAAUUUCUUUUGUUUAAUCGAAUAUGGGCUAGGAAUUACCUCCUUGCUCAACAAAUGAUAAAAAUGUCUGUUACUACCAAUGGAUCGAUCUUUGUCAGUUGAAAAGUAAAAGAAUCAUUUAUAUGUUCUAAAAUAAAUGGUUAAGAAUUGAUUAAUUAAUUCAUUCUUGAUUACUUCAAACAUUAGGUGUAGUUGAUUAUUUCCUUAUUUGUCUCUCUUUUCCUUCGUAUACUGCCCACAAACUAAAACAGUCUUCCCCAAUAUUCUUUUGUGCUGUGCUCUUUUAUUUUCUUUGUGUUGAUUCCUCUACUAAUUCUUGAUCACGUUCUAGCACUUGUGUCUCAUUCAAUUAUACUAUAAUUGCGUUCUUUAAACACUGUCUUUACGAGUCGGAAAAGUGUAACCGUCAAUGAAGUGGAAUGAAAGGAGCUUAUUCAUAUUCAAUGUUGGACGAGUAAUUAUCCAACAACCGCAAGGGAAAAUGAGGUAGUAACUAUUUAACUUUUUGUAUAUGGCAUAACAAAAAACAAUGUUUGUUCCUCUAUCAACAUAUAAUUGUCUUAUUUUGAUUAGUUGAUAUUUUGUGG
rnacentral:lncRNA from 1 species